rnacentral:rRNA from 1 species
AAUGGGGGAAACCCUGAUGCAGCCAUGCCGCGUGUGUGAAGAAGGCCUUCGGGUUGUAAAGCACUUUCAGUAGGGAGGAAGGUAGUGUAGUUAACACCUGCAUUAUUUGACGUUACCUACAGAAGAAGCACCGGCUAACUCCCGUGCCAGCAGCCGCGGUAAUACGGAGGGUGCGAGCGUUAAUCGGAAUUACUGGGCGUAAAGCGCAUGCAGGCGGCCUGUUAAGUCAGAUGUGAAAGCCCGGGGCUUAACCUCGGAAUUGCAUUUGAAACUGGCAGGCUAGAGUCUUGUAGGAGGGGGUAGAAUUUCAGGUGUAGCGGUGAAAUGCGUAGAGAUCUGAAGGAAUACCAGUGGCGAAGGCCGGCCCCCCUGGACAAAGACUGACGCUCAGAUGACGUAAAGCGGUGGGGAGACAAACAGGAUUAGACUACCCUGGUAG